rnacentral:rRNA from 1 species
CAGCAGUGGGGAAUAUUGGACAAUGGGCGAAAGCCUGAUCCAGCCAUGCCGCGUGUGUGAAGAAGGUCUUCGGAUUGUAAAGCACUUUAAGUUGGGAGGAAGGGUUGUAGAUUAAUACUCUGCAAUUUUGACGUUACCGACAGAAUAAGCACCGGCUAACUCUGUGCCAGCAGCCGCGGUAAUACAGAGGGUGCAAGCGUUAAUCGGAAUUACUGGGCGUAAAGCGCGCGUAGGUGGUUUGUUAAGUUGGAUGUGAAAUCCCCGGGCUCAACCUGGGAACUGCAUUCAAAACUGACUGACUAGAGUAUGGUAGAGGGUGGUGGAAUUUCCUGUGUAGCGGUGAAAUGCGUAGAUAUAGGAAGGAACACCAGUGGCGAAGGCGACCACCUGGACUAAUACUGACACUGAGGUGCGAAAGCGUGGGG